rnacentral:rRNA from 1 species
UACGUAGGGGGCAAGCGUUAUCCGGAUUUACUGGGUGUAAAGGGGGCGCAGACGGCGAUGCAAGCCAGGAGUGAAAGCCCGGGGCCCAACCCCGGGACUGCUCUUGGAACUGCGUGGCUGGAGUGCAGGAGGGGCAGGCGGAAUUCCUGGUGUAGCGGUGAAAUGCGUAGAUAUCAGGAGGAACACCGGUGGCGAAGGCGGCCUGUUGGACUGCAACUGACGUUGAGGCCCGAAAGCGUGGGGAGCAAACAGG